GAUGAAGAACGCAGCGAAAUGCGAUACGUAAUGUGAAUUGCAGAUUUCAGUGAAUCAUCGAAUCUUUGAACGCACAUUGCGCCCGCUAGUAUUCUGGCGGGCAUGCCUGUUCGAGCGUCAUUUCAACCAUCAAGCCCUAGGCUUGCGUUGGAGCCCUGCGGCUGCCGCAGGCUCCCAAAUCCAGUGGCGGGCUCGUCGUCGUACCGAGUGCAGUAAACAUCCUCGCUCAGGGAACGUGACGGGUUCUUGCCGUGAAACCCCCCACAUAUCAAGGUUGACCUCGGAUCAGGUAGGAAUGCCCGCUGAACUUAAGCAUAUCAAUAAGCGGAGGA
rnacentral:misc_RNA from 1 species